rnacentral:siRNA from 1 species
UACGGAUUUCGGCCCAAAACCUC